ACAUGUGAGGAUAUGUGAACAACAGAUGUUGAGCCAUAUUAGAGAAGGAGAGAGAGCAAGAGAGAGAGAGAGAGAGAGAGAGAGAGAGAGAGAGAGAGAGAGAGAGAGAGAGAGAG